rnacentral:rRNA from 1 species
UACGUAGGGUGCAAGCGUUGUCCGGAAUUAUUGGGCGUAAAGAGCUCGUAGGCGGUUUGUCGCGUCGAAUGUGAAAACCCGGGGCUCAACCCCGGGCCUGCAUUCGAUACGGGCAGACUAGAGUUCGGUAGGGGAGUCUGGAAUUCCUGGUGUAGCGGUGAAAUGCGCAGAUAUCAGGAGGAACACCGGUGGCGAAGGCGGGACUCUGGACAGUUCCUGACGCUGAGGCACGAAGGUCAGGGGAGCAAACGGG